CGGGAUUGCCCCGGGCGCCUCGCGUGCCCCGGAUCAGGCGCCCGCCUAGGAACUUUAACUCUUGUUUUAUUUUGAAUCUUCUGAGUAGUUUUUACAAAUAAAUAAAAACUUUCAACAACGGAUCUCUUGGUUCUGGCAUCGAUGAAGAACGCAGCGAAAUGCGAUAAGUAAUGUGAAUUGCAGAAUUCAGUGAAUCAUCGAAUCUUUGAACGCACAUUGCGCCCGCCAGUAUUCUGGCGGGCAUGCCUGUCUGAGCGUCAUUUCAACCCUCAUGCCCCUAGGGCGUGGUGUUGGGGAUCGGCCAAAGCCCGCAAGGGACGGCCGGCCCCUAAAUCUAGUGGCGGACCCGUCGUGGCCUCCUCUGCGAAGUAGUGAUAUUCCGCAUCGGAGAGCGAUGAGCC
rnacentral:rRNA from 1 species